rnacentral:lncRNA from 1 species
UAGGAAUCCACAUAUACAAUCAUCGUUUACACUGAAAAAAUGGAACUUCCCUUGAAUCUGCCACCCCAAUAGGGUGCUCCUAUCUUGUUGUCACACCCGAUUUUAAAACAAAAUCUAGUGUUGUAUGUCAGGAUCAAGUUUCAUACAUAUGGUGACAUCAUCAGUGAAUAACAGUAACAAUAUCACGUAAAGGAAUAUAAAUAAAGACUUACGAGUCUAUCAGAGAUAAACAACUUAAUCCUAGAAACAAAAGCUCCAAACUUCACAGGCAAUCGACCGGGGGUUGCGUACGCCUAGAACUCAACACCAUCUUCCCAACAACUUCAUAGCAGCUUCUUCUUCUGAGCAACAUUGGUUAUAGCAAGAGUGAGCACAUGUCAUACUCAGCAAGUGUGGGGAAAAUAUAAAUGCAAGGCUUAAAUAAGGAAAGGCUGAUAGGUUUACAGCGAUAAGCAAUUUUAGUUGGUCAAAUUUUAUUAGCACCUAAAUACUAAGGUAUAUAUACCAAUCCACAAUUAACAUAAACAUAAGCCACAAGCAUAUGACACAACCAUAACCACGAUUUAAGUCUAUCUUCAAGUAUAUUAAUCAUGUGAGGGGUUUAGGCCGCUCUUAACCAUGAGCUCGGCUGAUAUAUCAGUUUUACACUCUGCAGAGGUUGUACAUCUUUACCCACAAGUCACGUAAAAGUUUAGAAGAACUUUAGACCCAACCGUGAUGUACUGAUCACGCACUCAUCGUACUAACGAGGUGUGACUGUAUAGGGACGCUACGAGGUCUUUACAAAAAUUCCCUAAUAAGUGGUAACCCACUAAGAUUUCAGGUCGAAGCAGAGCAUAAACCUCUCUCAAGACUGCGAAGCUACCAUAGAGCAAAUCAGACUGAGUGCCGGGUUAUACCCCAUCAACGCCUCCCCUCUUGCUCUUUCGGUAAGAUUAUCCCAAACUAGAGUCCCUAAUUAAUUAGCCAAGAUCAGAGCCAUAUAGUCCUUGUGGUUGCACUGUUUUCUUGGGUGGUCCUCCAUGUUCCAAUUAAGCAUGAUGAUCUUAUAUUAAUGAAAGGUAUAGCAUAAAUAAAACAAGUUAAUCUUAAACCACCAUAACCCAUGGUAUCGCAACUAAGCAUAUCUACCCAACAAAAAGGUAAAAAUCAGGUUGACAAGGAAUGAUCAUAAAAACUAGGCAAACCUUAAUAGGACCCAUCAAUAUUAAAUGCAGAGCAAUGCAAUACAAUUAAAUAUAGCUAUUGGAACAAAAGCAUAAGGACACACUUGCCUUUCUCUAAAUAAUAGCUGCUCAGAUUAACUUCAGCUCUUGUUCCUCGAAGCUCUCGAACAAUGUUCCUUCUACUCGCAUCAAUCGUUGGCACAAGCAUACAAAGCAAACAACAAUCACAACAAAGAACAAUACAUCAAUCAAAAGAAAAGCUUUGAAAGAACGCACAAAAGGAUAGGGAUCGAUUCUAGGAUCACGCGAAUGAAAGGGACAAGAGCUACAUGCUUCAUUUAUUUUAGUUGAGAAAAAUAAUAUAAAGAUAUUUCAAAGAAAUAUCCUUAAUUAGAAUUAAUCAAGUCAUAUUUACGUAUGAAAAGACGAUGUAAAGCUUAGUCCAAUUUUAUGUAUAAAUAUUUAAGUACAAUUUUAUACAAAUUAAACAUUUGAUUUUUAAAAAUAGCAUGUAAAAGCAUCUAAGGAUAUAAAUUUAUUAUUUGGGUUGAACUAACCAAAUAUAAUUGAAAACACAUUUAUAUUCAUAUUAGUCCAAUUAAUAUUUAAUAAAGAAAAACUGAGACAUAACCUAUGUAGCUUUUAUUCAUAAAACAAAUUAAAUAAACAUUAAUCAAAUUAAGUUUAAUUUAUAAAAAGUCAAGGUAUAUCUCUAAUUAGCUUUUAAUUGGAUGAGUUGUUUAAAUAAACAUUAACCAAAUUUACAUUAGUUAUGAAAACACGAGGUUGAACUCUAAUUAGAUUUUAAUUAGGAAAGCAAGUAUAUAAGUACUUAAUCAUAUUACUAUUUUGAACAAAUUAUAAAACAAAGAAUAUGAUCAACAUUGCUUCUAAUGCAUGAUUUAAGUUGACAUGAAUCUAACGCAAAAAGAACAAGGUUAAACGGAGGUAAAACGUAGAAUCUAUGAGCUAAACAAGCUACAGGAGUCUAAUCGCGAUUAACCCUAGAUAACAGGGGCUAGCAAGGAAGAUUCCCGAGACACAUGGAAUAGAGCUCACCAUUAGGUCAAAACAUAGGGUUAGAUCUGUUAAAGUGCUCGGGUUCCUACCUCGCCUUAUAUUGCUGGGGGUAGGGUUACAGAUUGGUUGUUUACUAGUCGGAUUCGACCAGAGAGUCUUACUCUAAUUGCUACAAAUAGUUUCCUAAUCCUCGACUAGUCAUUGUCCUCCACGUAGACCACGCCGUCCUGCACCAUAGCCUCUAUGUUUGACACAUCUCGGUGUACAGCCCCGUAUUGUAGGAAUGUCCAAGCCUCCAGGUGGGCCCAUAGAUGUAUGGCCGAUAAGCCCCCGAGUACUUUUUAGUCAAAUGCAGUAGUUCCGAGUACUUCUAUAGAUGUCUCCGACUAGUUUGUGGUGCUCCUUUGCGUACUCCAUUGGAUUGAGUCUUCGAAUGUGUUCAAGUACUGUCAUGCGGCUAGAAGGUGCUCAAGCCUCAGUUAACUUGGUCUUGAAUCUUGAAUCUUGAAUUUAAUAUGGAAAAUCGCACUUCAUAUGGAGUAGCCCUCGAGCCUUAGGUUGAAUCGAAGAAUCAGGCUGAGGGUCAAUCUUGUAAUUUCACAUCUUUUUCCCCUUAAAACCCGAAGAAUUUUUUUUUGUCCAAUGGGCAUGUGGCACACAGCUCCCAAGCCGUUACAUGACUACUUUGGGUAUAAGGGUCAACCACUGAUCCAUGUGACCGUUCGCCUUCAGAAAUCUUAUCUCUUCCGAAGAAAUUGGAAACCAUUCCAGCAAUAACCAAGGGCUUUCAAAAUGGAAUAUUCCCCAUAAUUCUCGCCUCUUAGUUAACUGUACCGCAGUUAUGAAUAUCGGAGGGACUUAUCCCUUCCAUUUCACCCGAGCUAGUGUGCCCAUUCAUCUUCUCACUGUUGCCCUAGCGCCGCUGCUUGCCACCCCGAGCACUAUUGCCCUAGCACCGCCGCUUGCCAUUCCUGAGAGCCGCCACCCCUCCACUGUUUAGCCCUCCAGCUCAUGCGCCAAAAGACCAUUGGAGCCAUUGUGCCAAGGUGGCUGAGACCAAGAAGUGCAAGGCCACCAAGAAGAAGAGGAGAUCCAACUGCCAGCGCCCAAGUACGGGAAGACCAACUAGACAGCACCGCCGAAUCAGGCCUGCGUCUGGAAGAAAUCUGUCUUGAAAGAGGUGGAUAUCCAGGUACUAGUGAAUGCGAAUCUUCUCCAGGAGAAGGAAUUUGCCGAUUGGAGGGAAGCAGCCGGCAAUCUAUGGCCUCUAGAGAGCUACCCGAAUGAGACAGUCAUCUUCACGCAUUUCGUUGAGCGCAGGCUGGCUCUACCAUCAUCCAACUUCUUUAGGGGUCUUUUGAGGUACUACAAUCUGGAGCUAGUUCACCUCAACCCCAAAUCCAUUUUGCACGUUGCUAUCUUCGUGCACCUCUGCGAGGCCUUCCUGGGCAUUCAGCCCCACUUCCAGUUGUUUAGGAAGUUCUUCAGAGUGAAACCCCAACUCCGGAUGGACCACACAGAAUUAGUCGGAGGGGCGGGGAUCCAGCUUCGGGAGCAGUUCAAGAGCCAGUACAUUGAGUAUAAACUCAUAGACUCCCAUUCUGGUUGGAAGCGACAAUGGUUCUACAUCGGUAAUCACGAGCCCAUCUUCACAAGGUACCGACCACCGUCCAGUGUGGAACAACCAUUGGCUGGAUGAGCCGAGUACUACCGAUGGCUUUCAGCUGCCAGAUUUGAUUGCGAAGAUUGCCCGCCUCAAGAAGGAUGGUCUGACCGGCGUCGGUGUGGCCUUCAGCUUCAUGAGGAGACGUGUCCAGCCCCUGCAGCUGCGUUGCAUAGCAGGGUACGAUUACUAGGGUCCCAAUGACCCGUCACGGAUGAUGUUUGAGCAGUUGUCACCAGACGAAGUGAUGGCGCGUCUGAAGCACUUCUUUAAACACAUCACAGGCAUCCCGACAAUCGUGUAAGAGCACUGCGCCGCUAACCUGCCAAACCAAGUAAGUACCCGUGGCCUGCAGUCCCCGAGUAAUAAUUUUGGCAUCUGUCAGUUUUGCUAACUAGUCUUAUUGGUUGCAGGAUGAACUUAACUUGUAUGUUUCGAACCCUCCUUCGUCUGGUGCUGACGUCACGCCCCGUAUACAGUCCCUUGUGGCUGUACAAAGGGCGAUCGAGGAGGAGGAGAAGGAAAAGGAGCAGGAGAACUCACUAGACUGGUCCUCCUUCAGCAGCUCUGAUUAAGAUUCUACUAAAAAAUAUGUUGUCAAGCCCCAUCUUUCCAACAAGGAGAGGUCAUCUUCUGUGAUGUCCAAGCGUGCAGCGAAGGACGUUUAGGAAGUCGAAGUAGCACCACUCCCGAAGAAGGCGUGUACUGUCACCAUCAAACAGGCAGUGAAGAAGUUGUCAGCCGAUGAAGUCCUGCCUCAGGUAACAAGAUCUUGAGGAUCAAGUACCCAUAAUGUGUUUACUUUAUCACCACUCUCACCAUUGACUCUAUUAUGGCCGAGUUGCAGGUAGUCGAGGUGGAGACAGAGGUGGAAGAGCCGACUAUAGAGGAAGUCCCGGCGCCAAGUACUCAACAAGAUGAGAUGAUGGCUAAGGUUGGUGAGCAUCUAACUGUGAUCCGGUGAGCUGCGCAAAAGAAGCUGUCACCUACCAUUAAGGCACUGCACUUGGGAACCGGACCCUCCAUCAAGAUAAAGAGGUUUACCCAAUAAGUAUUCGUGUACUAAGUGUAACUUGAUGUCACCGAGUAGUGUGUUGUAACACUUGUCUCGUUUAAGGAAAUCCACCAGUGUGGAAGCUGAGAGCCUGAGUACGAAGUCUGGGGUUGAUGGCAGUAGCUGCUCAGCCCAGGAAGUUGUCCUGGAGUCCGAAGUUCCACCGCCGGAGGAGCAGCCCGUGCCCGAAGUCACUCCAGGUGCGGUGUCCCUUGUAGCAGCACUUAUGCAUGAUAUCUUGUCAUCAUUUGACGUAUCUGCAGUGCCAGCCCCCGAGCUGCCGAAGGCCGAACCCAUCGCGGAGGGUACUUCCGCGGUGGUGACGCAGCUGGUGACUCUGAUGGUGAAUCCAAAGGUCGAGCCGGAGCUGGAGGCCGAGGUGGAGGUGGCAGCUACUGGUGAAGUUGAGGUGCUCUCGAGUUUGAGUGAUCAAUUGAAGUACAUGACCCAGUGCUCUGGUCUUUCUGCUUCUGCGGUACUUGAUUUUCCUGCGGACCCUGCCAUGAAAUCGACUAGUGCUUGUGACUUGAUGGCAGUCCUUGGCUUGAAUUUCAGGGACAAGACUCCGAGUUCCACUGCCGACUUGAAGAAUCUUCCUGUUGCAUCUCUGUUGUGGAGGAUGUCUCCCAAGGGGAAGUCUAUGAUGACGGAGAUGUUAUGUUCCUGGAAGUAGUGUCGUAGCUUCCGCGAGGUGAGUAGUAUUGCGUAUAGCAACUUCUGUACUGGCGGGUACCUAGUUUCGGAGUCUGACAACACCUCACUGACGAAGUAGACGGGCCUCUGUAUUUUAUAUACAUGGCCUAGUUCUGGUCUUUCGGCCACGAUCGUCGUGCUAACAACAUUAGUAGUCACAGCGAUGUAGAGCAGCAAAUCUUCAUUGGGCGUAGGCGCCGUGAGGACCGGUGGCUUUAAUAAGAAGUCCUUUAGUUGUUAAAAGACUUGUUCCACCUCCUCGGUCCACUGGAAUUUUUCUUGCCGCUUGAGUAGUUUGAAGAAGGGUAGUCCCCUUUCUCCAAGUCUUGAGAUGAAUCUGUCGAGAGCCACCAUACAUCCAGUCAGCUUUUGGACAUCCUUGAUGCACGAUGGAGCGUGCAAGUUGGUGAUGGCAGCGAUCUUCUCGAGAUUAGCAUCGAUUCCUCGAUGACUGAUGAUGAACCUGAGUAGUUUUCCGGAGGGUACACCGAACACACAUUUUGUUGGGUUCAGUUUCCACCAGUAUGCUCACAAGCUUGCGAAGGUUUCUUCGAGAUCUGCAAUGAAGUUGUCAGGAUUUUUGGUCUUUAUGACUACGUCAUCCACGUAUGCCUCUACAUUAUGGUGUGGUUGCUCUUUGAAGCAUUCUUGGGUGGCUCGUUGAUAUGCAGCGUCUGCGUUCUUCAAUCCGAAGGAUAUUGUGGUGUAACAGAAGGUUCCAUACGGGAUGAUGAACGCGAUCUUGAUCUGAUCUUCUUCCAUGAGGGCUAUCUGGUGAUACCCCGAUUAGCAGUCAAGGAAACAAAGUAGAGCGCACUCAGCAGUUGAGUCGAUGACUUGAUCAAUCCUAGGGAGCACGAAGGGAUCCUUUGGACAGUAUUUGUUGAGGUCCGUGUAGUCAACACACAUCCUCCACUCAUUAUUGUUCUUCUUCCACACUAAGACGGGGUUGGCCAGCCACUCUGGAUGAUAGACUUCUUCUAUGCAGCCAGCCACGAGUAGUUUGGCUAACUCUUUUUUGAUGGCUUCUCUUUGGUCUUGGGCGAAUCGACAUUGUCGUUGUCGUUUGGGUGUAGCUUUGGGAUCCACAUUUAGCGAGUGCUCGAUCAACUCCCUGGGCACCCCCGGCAUAUCAGAUGGCUUCCAUGCAAAGAUGUUUCGAUUGGUCCGGAGGAAGCUGACGAGCGUGUCUUCCUAUUUGGGAUCCAGCACUGAGCCAAUCAAGGCUGUCUUGGAGCUGUCGCCGGUCUCAAGGUCGAUAGAUUUGAUAUCAACCUCUCCUGUCGGCUUGACCUUGGUCGCCCCCAACUUCUUCUCUAGGAUUUCAAGUUCUGUCGGGGACAAUUUCUUAGAGGCGGCAAGACUUGCAUCAUCGAUUUUGGCACUUGAGUAGUCGCCGCCAGCUCCACAACUUCUAUGUCGCAGUCGUAUGAUCUCUUUAAGUCUCCGGACAAGGAGAGUACUCCCUUGGGUCCCGGUAUUUUGAGUACUAGGUACACGUAAUGUGGGAUGAUUAUGAAUUUGGCCAGUGCUGGUCUUCCAAGGAUGGUGUGAUACGAUGUUUCAAAGUCAGCCACCUCAAACCGGAUGUACUUGAUCUGGUAAUGAUCCUUGGUCCCAAAAGUAACUGGCAAAACCACCUGACCAAGGGGUACAUCCGCGUUACCCGGGAUGAUCCCGUAGAAUGGAGAGUUCAUCGGGGUGCAUAUCUGUAAUGUUGAGGCCCAUCUUCCUCAGAGUCUUGGAGAAGAGCACCUUGAGGCCGUUGCCGCCGUCGAUGAGUACUUUUGUGAGUCGAGAGCCUAUGACUACUGGAUCCAGGACGAGAGGGUAGCGCCCCGGAUCUAAGAAGUUAGUCCACUGAUCCUUCCUUGAGAAGGUGAUUGGCACCUUGGACCACUUGAGGAACAUAGGUGUUGCUGGUUCAAUGGAUAUGAUCUCCUGGAGGGCUAAUUUUUGGGACCGCUUUGUGGCAGUACCCGGUGUAUCGUCGAAGAUCACGUUGAUGGUGUUGGACGGGUUCUGGAAUUUUCCAUUGUCGUCCUCGUCUUCAUCUUCUUUGGCCUUUCCCUUGUCCUUUGCUCCAGAAAGUUCUGGUAAAUCUUUCAUAACUCUGCAAAGGCUAUAGCAAUCCAUCGCAGAGUGUUUAGAGUGUGGAUGCCAUGGGCACUGCUUUUUCAGGAGAUCCUUGAAUGGAGUCCUCUCUUGAUUUCCACUGAUUUUCUUGAAGGACUAGGAUAUCGCGGUGACAGUAUUGUCUAUCAUCCUCUUGCGGUUUUGACUACCCGAGUAGUUGCCUCGGUUGUCGUUGGGGUGAUCGUUGCGAUUGUUGCCGUUAGUUUGGCCAUUGCUCUGGUUGUUGUUGUUCUGGCCUCGGUUAUAGUUAGACUCAAACCGCUUGAUCUCUUUGUCUUCUUCAUCCACCUAGGCUUGAAUCAUAGUCUUGAAGGACUUGAUAUCUUUCGGGCAUCUUCUGCCAAAGUCUUGGAACAUCCGGCGGUUGUAGAGACCGUUCUGGAAGCACUCUAUGGCGUCCUGCUCCGUGAUGUCCACGACAGUGGCUUUCUUGUCGAAAAAACGGUGUAGAUAACUACGCAGAGUCUCGCCUUGUUGCUGUUUAACUUGCAAUAUGGUGAGUAGGUCAAUGGUGGUGAUGGUGGCGAGAGAAGUGUGAUGGUGAUGCGUUUGAAUUGUUUCGAACGUGUGAUCCAAGUUCAUGAUGGGUAGGUCAGGUGCAAGGCGGCGGCGACAUUCUGUUCGUGCCGUGUUCCUUGUUCGCCGAUGAUUCCUUUAACUUUCGGUCUCUUCUCCUUGGACAUUUGCGGAUAGCUCAUCCGCUGACACGUCGUCCGCAUGGCGCUCGCGUCGUGGAUGUCUUUUUGAUGACUCCUCACCAUUGCCGUCUUGUGCAGCGACGAUGGCGAGUAGUUCUCGCUCUAGGGAGAAACUACUCGAGCUUGACAUGAUGAUCUCUGUAGGGCCGUCUUCUUUGUAGAUAAGCAAUAGAGAAGUUCCCUCCUGGUAUGGAAGGUUGUCGAGGUACGCGAUGAGGCGUGAAUCGUUGUCCCUAGCGAGAGCAUAUGGUUUCAUGUCGGGCCAAUAGACAAAUCUGCCUUGUGGAGUAGAUGUGAUUACCAGGCCCUGCUGUGGACCUGAUAAAGGAGUCUCCUUGUCCGGAUCUGAGUAGUAGUUGGAGUCCUCGAUCAAAUCUGAGUUGGAUUGGGAUCUGGAUAGGGAAGCUUGGUAGACAUCACCCGUGUUUCGGAGUCCGAACAGGAACGGAGUUGUAUUGUAGACCGAUUCACAUGAUGGCUCGAGCGCCAGCUCAUGGGAACCAGUUCGACUGGUAGGAGAGGUCGAGUUGUACUCGGACUCGUCCCUUGAUCCUCGAAAGAAGUCAAAAAUUUCAUUGAAUUUUUCAACAAAAUCCUCAAAAGCUUGGCGAUGGAGGUUGAUGUCAUAGUGCUUCUCCUCUAGGGCCGGCUUGAUGUGGAGGCGGAAGUUUCCAGCGCCGUCCGCGACGCAGACCCAGGAGCCGAAGACGAACGUCGCGCCUUCUUCGAACGCGAUGGUGAGCUUAAUGACGACUUGAGCCAUCGAGUUCGCUGGUGGAUCUUUAGCGAGAUCCCCUACCUGGCAUGCCAGCUGUCGGUGUUUAGACCCGGCAACCUACCAAGGGGUACCCGAGGUAUGUUUUAUGCAUGGGGCUCGCCGAAGACAUGGAACUCGAAGGUGAACUCGAAUACACGAUUUGGACAGGUUUGGACCGCUUAUGUCGCAUAAUACCCUACGUCCUGUGUGUUUGUUGGAUUGUAUUGACUGAUGUUCGUUUGGAGGAGGUCCCUACCUCAUCUUAUAUUGCUGGGGGCAGGGUUACAGGUCGGUUGUUUACAAGAGUACUAGUUCAUUCGACCCAGAGAGUACUACUCUAAUUACUACGAGUAAUUCCUAAUCCUUAUCCUCCACGUAGACCACGCCGUCCUGCACCGUAAUCUCCAUAUCUGACACAUCUCGGUGUACAGCCCCGUAUUGUAGGACUGUCCAAGCCUCCCGGUAGGUCCAUAGGUCCAUAGAUGUAUGGCCGGCAAUUAGUGAAUCAUGACAAAUCAUCAAAUAAUUGUAAGGAGCUGUAUAACUAGCAAGGAGCUGUUUCAAUACCUGAGGAGCAAAAUGAACUUAAAAAAAAAGUUGGUGAAGCUGAAAAUUAUGGCUCUAGCUCUGCGGGCUACAAUAGCAAUGCCGUUGGGCGGAGCUACACCAAGCAUGUCUAGUUCAACAUUAAUUGCAUCCUAUUUUUGUAGUUUGUAAAGAAAUGGGCGCUAACCCGUGCCAUGGUAUCUGAUAAAAAGCCAGAACAAACAUUAAACCAUACCCAGGUAAAAUGUUUUUCCAAAUCUCUAAUCUGGCUUGAUGAGCAUAAAAUCCAGUAAUGAAGACAUUUCUAUACAGUGUCGAGGAGUCGGAGUAGGCUGUAGCAUUUUUCGGUUCGGCCCAUUCACAACCAUCACAGCCGGCCCAACCCAACCCAUCUAGCAAAACCCUAUCUCCGCUCAGUCAAUGAGGCGUAGCGCGCUGUCGACUCGUCGACCACGCGCCUCCGUGGCCGCCCCCGUCGCGUCCACCAAGCGCCACCACGUGCCCGCCGCCCGUCCGCCCGCCCGCCCGCUGUCCGCAGCCACUCUUCCCCUAAACCCUAGCAAGCAGACGAAACCCCCCGCCCUGGCGCCCUGCCCACCUCAUCCUCGAAUUCGCCAUGGCGGCGAUGCCCGCCACCUCCUCCGCCUCCCCCUGCCAGGCGCCGUUGCCCGCCGGCCUGGGCCUCCCGCUCCUCACCUCCCCAAGCGCCCGCGCCGGCACCCUCGCCUUCGGCCGCCGCGGCCUCCGCCUCCGCCUCCGCGGCGCCGCCGCGGUCCCGCCCGCAGGUGAGGACCCUACGGCGACCCUCUUUCGGUUCUUAAAUGCGACGCUUGAGUAGAAAUGAGGGAUCAGAAAGAAGGGAACUUCUUGUAUUUUGGUGGCGGCGGUUGCAAUUUUGCUAAGUGAAGUGGCUUGGGCGAGAAAUUGCAAAUUUGUUGCGAGGUUGCUCGAAUUUUUUUUGUUCUGUAGUUCUUGUGAGAGGCUAUGGAAGCUCGUUGUUACAUUCUGUAGUGCUGAUGAUAUAAUAGACAGGGUAAGUAAGUCUGUUACUUGUCUUGAGAGCUGGAUUCUGUGGUCUACAGAUGGAGAGCACACUCAGAUGGGUUUGCGAAGAUUGUAAUUGUUUAGAUGCUGAACUGCCUGCUGUGGGCACCUCCAGCAUACAGGUGCCAUGGUUGGCAACCACUGGAGCACUGGGUUUAGAAGAGAUAAACUAGAUUGAUUUGGAAAAUAGAUAGCAUUUGGAAGAGAAUGGAUUUAUUUCAUCCAUCACAUAGCUGGCCUUUGUAAAUUCAUUAUGGCCAAACCCUCAUAGGGCUAGAACUUGGGACUCUAUCUUGAGUUUCCGAACUCUAAAUCAGAUUUACUCUGCCUACUCUUGCUCUUUCAUAAUCUAUAUGCAAGCCUAGUGCCUCCCUUAACCUACCCGGGCUCAGAUAUGUGCCAACUGAUUAAAGUCCAGAACAGGUGGGGUUUUUUUGAACUCAAAAUUAUGAUGAUGUGAAUCAAAGCGGCAACCAUUACAAUUUAGCUAUUGGUGGUCGGUUGUAUAUUACACAACUGAUGUUAUCGUCAGUCAAGCAGUAGUUCUUCUUACUAAUGCAUUUGAAGGUGCACAUAUACAUAAACAAUGUGUACUGCUGAAUCAGUAAGAGAAUAAGUUUGCUCUUCAACAUCAUUUUUUUUUUGCCCAUAUCCCUUACAAUGUUCAUAGCAUAUAUGUAUGUUAUCAAAGCAUUGUUGAUUCCUUAUGAUGUAAAAAAAGAGUGAAUGAUCGUCUUUUCCUCUUCCCCACCUAAACGAAUGAAAUGGAUGCUAAUGUGGUUGUUCUGUUCAUUUGCACACACCAAUGUCAAACAUUGUGGUUGUUCUGUUCUCCUUUUCUUUUCCUGAGACCAAGGCUGGUAAUGUGUUAAUUGAUCAGAUUUUAGUCUAAAUUCACCUUUCCCCGAAUUUCUCUUGAAACUUUAAUUACAAAUGAUAUAAAUAAGAAGCAAGAUUGAAAAGAACACAACAUAGGAUAUACUCACCAGGUGGUAUGCCUGACACUAACCUGGAAAUUGUUCCUGCCCAUCAUCAUUUUGAACCCUGGCUGACACUACACCCAAUUAGUCUAACGGGAUAACUGAGCAUGUCUUUAAUUUGAAAACACGUGAUAAGUUUAGUAGUCUCCUUAGUUCCUUGCUAGAUUUGUAUAACUUGCUCAACUCAAAAGGUUCUUUUGAUGUUUACAUUAAAUGAAGGUUAUCUUGAUGAUUCGUAUAUUCCUUGGAACUCAUUCAUGUCAUUUAUUAGUUUAAGGUCAUGCUCUGAGCAUUUUCCUUCCAAUAAGUUAGGAUCUGUUUACCAGCCUUUGGGGCCUUUUCUCAGUCUUGCAGCUCAAGAAAAUUCUUCUUACUGCAACACCUUGGGGGAGGUCCUCCCCUAGGGCUGAUUUUUUUUCCUGCAAUUUUUAUGGAUAUUUUGUUUUGGGUGUUAGUGAUAAAAAUACUUAUAUCAAUAUUCUAGGUAAUUAAGGAUGCCAAAGAAAUUCACUUGCCUUCUUAUUUUCAUAUUUCUGUAGAAACAGUUGGGUGGUGUUAUGCACGGCAAGCAGUUACGAGUCCAGGUUCCAGAGGAUUAAGUUGUUAGCUUCGUUUCGGUUAGGAGUUUCGUUGUGUUUCAGAUUAAUAGGAGGUUAGUUGGUAGAUUUUGUAACUUGGGCAAAGGGAAAGUAGCCGGCUAUUUAUAUGGAGCCGAUGCAAUCAGGAAAACCAAGCAAUAGAAUCAAUCUAGUUCCCCAGUCUAUUUUCUUUAUCCCUGCCUCCAGGUUGCGGCGUCGAUCACGGCACCCAAGCCGCGGCCUCGAGGUCUAGGGCCACGUCCAUCUACCUCUCACGACUACACCCUAUGCCAUAUUCCAUCCUCCAACACCCUUGCCCAUAACAAUCUUGUAUCAGAUAGCUCAGGUGCCGAUUCCAUGGAAGCCACCAACAAAUCUCUCCAGGAGCUCACCGACGCUGUCUGCAAGCUAUCUGAGAAGAUGACGGCAUUGGAGCCGCUUGUUCCCUGUGUGUCCGACCUUGCAAAAAUUCCGGCUGCGAUGACAUCGCUGAAGGAGUCUGUGAAGGACAGCGGUGAGCAGAUAAGGGCUAUCAAUCUGGCCGUGAAGAAGCUGGAACUUGGUGGCCACGAUGACCAAGACGCAUUGAAGAACAAGGAUAAGAUGGAGGACGAUGGCCUCAUUGGUAAGAGACCGGCGCCGCCUGCGUUCUCGAGCCCACCACCGCCACUACUUCCUCUGAAGACUCGUACACACCAGCAGCAGGAAGGGAGCAAGGAUUGUUUCUGUACACGCGUCCUCAAGCUAGACUUCCCCACCUAUGACGGAACUGGGGAUCCGCUGCCGUUGCUGAACCGAUGCGAACUGUAUUUUCGCGGUCAAAACAUGCCAGAGUCUUGGCGGGUCUGGUUGGCAUCGCUCCACCUGACGGACGCGGCGCAACUCUGGUAUUACUGCUUGGAGAUCAACGGUGGUGAGCCGUCAUGGCGUCAGUUCGUGCAGCUGGUGCCCAAGAGGUUGGGCCUCCCAUGACCGAGUCACCGCUCGGGGAAAUCACCAUGUUGUGCUGCUCUGGAUCGGUUGACGACUACAGCAAACAGUUCAUCGCUUUGGCGUGCCGUGACAUCGAGCUCACCGAGAAACAGCAGGUUCAGAUCUUCAUUGCCGGACUCGUCAACCCACUGAAGACGGACGUGGCGCUCCAGCGACCUGCUUCUCUGGAUGAUGCCAUCAUGCUUGCACGGGCUUAUGAGCAACGUCAAAUGUUGGAGCCCGAGACAACACCUUCUGGCUCUCGCAGCACACACAUACCAGCGUUACCAGCGCCUACAGACUCGACGGGAUCGACAGCAGCUUCCUCAGCUAUGGCAGGGUCUGGGAAGUUGGUCACGCUGUCAGCAGCUCACCUCAAUGGAGAUGGCUCAACGCCGAGCAGAAGGCCUGUGCUAUAAUUGUGAUGAAAAGUUCGUGCAAGGUCAUCGUUGUAAGAGGCUCUUCAUACUUGAGGUAAUCCCAGCAGAUGAUGGAUCCCUGGACACCACAACAGAGCAGCCGGAGAUCUCGCGAGCCAUCUUGGAUUGAGGAGUUUCAUCAUCUAUGUGCAGCUUUGCAGCUCGAGGACGAGCUGCUUCUCUUGGGGGGGUAGAAAUGUUAUGCACGGCAAGCAGUUAGGAGUCCAGGUUCCAGAGGAUUAAGUUGUUAGCUUCGUUUCGGUUAGGAGUUUUGUUUGUGUUUCAGAUUAAUACGAGGUUAGUUGGUAGUUUUUUGUAACUUGGGCAAAGGGAAAGUAGCCGGCUAUUUAUAUGGAGCCGAUGUAAUCAGGAAAACCAAGCAAUAGAAUCAAUAUAGUUCCCCAGUCUAUUUUCUUUAUCCCUGCCUCCAGGUUGCGGCGUUUAUCAUGGCACCCAAGCCGCGGCCUUGAGGUCCAGGGCCACAUCCAUCUACCUCUCACGACUACGCCCUACGCCAUAUUCCAUCCUCCAAAACCCCUGCCCAUAACAGGUGGUACUACGAUUUUUUGACCAUCUUUGACGUAUUUUGUUGUAGAAUUUACAUACUAUAUUUUAUGACUAUCUUUCAGUCUCUGUUAUAGCGUUUUUGAACGCUUGUUCAUUUCAGAUGCUACAGCAGCAGUCCCUUAGCUUCUUAUUCUUCUGGCUUAAUGCAUAUAGAUUGACACCUUCUCACUCUCUUUUGGCUUACUUGUGUGCAAAUGCUCCAUUUUGUCCAGAGGUCACAAACAAAACAAGUUUAAACUUCCUCAGAAGUAUUUAUCCAGAAUAUUAUUUUGAAUUGUAGACAUGCCUGUAUGUUUAAACCCCUGUCAGCUUCUUGAACAUGCUUAGGAAGAACAGCUCCUACUAGUUUAUUCAGAUGCGAGCCUACUAGGCAUCCACAAUUCUCUUGAUACGGCAAUGAUAUGUAUUUGGGUGUAUAUAGUAGACUUGAGCUCAUGAGGUUCCCUAUAGCUUCCUCUUUAUCUAUUCUUGAAAAGUUUUUUCUCCUCAGUUUAAUAGCAUACUUUUGUUUUUAAAGAUUGAAUAGGAUUCCCUGCUUUAUUUGGGUGACAUACUUUUCUUGUCUUGAUCACAGGACAUCUAUUUCUUGGUCUUCCCAAGCCACGAUGCUCAUAUAUUGCAGCCAUUGGCGAUGUGGCAGCGGUUUCCGAUGAUUAUAUAGAUAGCUCGCCAUCAAGCAGUGGAUAUCCAAAUAGUUCAAUGGGUUCUUCAUCUCAUGAAGAUAAUCAACCAGAAAGGGUUGUUAAGAUGAACCAAAAAUCUAAAGACAGCAAUAAAAUGAUUAAAAUAUGUGAUAAGUUAAUUGGCGUAUUCAUGGUUGAUAAACCUACACCAACGGAUUGGAGAAAAUUACUGGCGUUUAGCAGAGAAUGGGACAACAUAAGACCGCAUUUCUUUAAACGCUGCCAGGAAAGAGCGGAUGCAGAGCCGAACCCUGAGAUGAAGCACAAGCUUCUCAGGCUUAGUAGGAAACUGAAAGAGGUAAUGACCUUAUUAAAAUAAUUGUGCUUCACCUGAUUAUUUAAUUUAAAAUUCUUAUAAUUGAUAUUAAUAUAGUUUGUCCCUUCUUUUUAGAUUGAUGAGGAUGUACAGAGGCAUAAUGAACUUCUUGAAGUAGUAAAAUCCACACCAUCUGAUAAAAUUGGUGCUAUUGUUGCUAAGCGGCGUAAAGAUUUCACAGUGGAAUUUUUCAACCACCUUUACUAUGUUGCGGAGUCUUAUCAUGAUGAACCUGAAAAGCAAACUGGUGAGCUGUACAUGAGAACUUGACUAUUAUGUUGGCAAACUUUUUAUGUUGUUUCCUUGUAUCUUUUAUUUUGCAUUUUAUGAUGUAAACCCUUUUUAUUAUUUUGCCAUCUCUACUUUUCCAAAUGUAUCACAUAUCAUGAAAUAGAGAAACAUAUCCUCUUGACAAUUUACUAAUGUGCUUAUCCUAAUAGAGUUGUAUCUGUUGUACAACUAACACCCUUAACAGUUCCAUGCGUAGAAUGUAUUUGUUUACUCUGCACUUUCAUAAUGAGCACCAUCUCCUUUCUCAGAAUUAUUCAAUGAUUUCUGGGAACUUUUAUUUUUUGUAGCUUCCAAUCUCAUCCAUUUAGACACAUUUAGACAGCAGAGGUGUCGAUCCCUUAUCUGAAGAUAAAGAUAUUACUUUGUGUUGUUAGGCCGAUUGAACGGUAGUACUGUACUGAUUCUUGUUUUUUUAUGCUUGUAGAGUUGGCAAAGCUUGGAAAUGAUUGUGUAGAUGCUCUACAAGCUCACGAUGAUACAACUGGGAGUCUUGAGGCUUUGAAUGCUGCAGAAUUGAAGUUAAAAGAUAUACUUAAUUCAUCUUCGGUGGAUGCUGCUUGCAGAAAGAUUGAUGACUUGGCUGAGAAGAAGGAACUGGACUCUGCAUUAGUGUUGAUGCUUUCAAAAGCUUGGUCAGCUGCAAAAGGCACUGACAUCACUAAAUCUGAGGUAAAUGAUUAUAGGACUCAGCAAACAUGUAUGCUGUUGAGUUGCUGUACUUUUUCAGUUAUCUUUCAGAACUGUGCUCUGGUGCACAAAAUUCAUCUUUGAUUAUUUCAUUAUCUACUAAACAUGUCACAGGCAAAGGAUAUAAUGUUUCAUCUAUACAUGACUGCGGUGGCUAAUCUCCAGAGACAAAUGCCAAAGGAUAUUAGAAUACUGAAGCAUCUUAUAAUGAUAGAGGAUCCAGAAGAGCGGUUGAGUGCACUGAAUGAUGCUUUUACUCCUGGUCCUGAACUUCAAGGGGACAAUGUUGAUACAUUAUACACGUAAGUACUAUUGGUGCUUCAAUGGAUGCUUUGUCACUGUUCCUUCUGUCGUUUUCAUGUCGCGUGUUGCCUGGUGGAUUGCAGGAGUCCAGAGGCAUUACACACUUGGGCAAGUGCUAUAGUAGAUGCAUAUUAUAACAGCAGAGAAGGCACUCUCCUUGGACAAGCAAGAGACUUGAUGAACCCAAAAAUCAUCAGGAGAGUCGAAGAGAUAGUGAAGAUAAUCAAGGACAAAUACCUUUAAUCUUUGGUUAUCAGAAAUUUUGGGUUUUAACAUUUCUACUGAUUGCACAAAGUCUUGCGCGGUGACCAUAGGAUGAUGGCCCUGUACGAACUGCUCCCUGCAAAACUACAGGCAUUAUUCCAGCGGAACUCUUCACCACUGUCGACUCCUUACAGAUUAAAGGAAAUGCAGAUUGUUGUAACUCAUUACAUGAAAAGGUGGUUGUAGCAUGUGAUGUAUCAAUGUAGCUUUCACAUAGAUAUUAAGGGAGUAUCCACGUCUCGUACACACUAACAGUGUUGUAACUGGUUUGACUAGUUUAGAAUCAGAAGUCAUAUGUAUGUACCCAAAUAUCCUUGUAAUGAGCUCCUCGAUGAUCUCAAUAGUUGUACGGAUGGUGCUGACCCACUCUGAUUAAGACUUCUAUUUCAGCAUGACAAAUGUUUCUGGACAUGUUUGAGGCUUUGAGCCGAAUGAUGUAAUAAGACUCAGUCGAUGCUCAUAUUUACAGCUAUGUUACCCAUGUGGCAUAGUCAACAAGAUUAAGAAGGUCUAUCAAACUACAACUUCUCGAUAGAUAUGUUUUGCUGCAUUCUUAUAAAAAAUUGUUUGCUCUCAUGCAGCUGCAGGACAAAGAACUCUAGUGGAGUAAAAGCCUCAAACUCUGGAUUAACGCCUGGUCCUGCGAACACGUAUGUUAUCCUCAAACCUAUGCCGGGAUAUUAUAUUGAAUAGACAAUCAUUUAGUGAUCUUUCAGAAAUCUAGUUUAUAUUGUUUACCGUAAGGUCAUUUUCCGUCCUACUCCUCAAUCUUGUUUGAUGUUUCGUGCUAUCCCUCUGUAUGAUGUGGUUGACAGUUACGACAAGCUUUUUACAUGUAUUUACUUGCCCAGAUAAGCUACUGUGGUUUUCAUACACGAAGGUCAUUCCAAAUAAACAGCGCACACCAAAUGGAACUUCAAGUUGCUGUUAAAUUGCAAAUAAUUUAACCAAGAUACUGUUGAUUCCACAGGCAAAUCCAAAUCAGCCGUUAAAUUUUUUAACUUCUGUUGGUUUUCUACUGCUUUUACAGUUGGCAUGUUAUGCCGCAUCGUUUUAUACAUUAUAUGUCGUAAUUUAUCUAGUGUGUUAGUACCAUCCCCCUUUAUAAUGUGGUUGAGAGUUGAGACAAAACAUUUACGUGUGUUUGCUUGCAAAGAUGAAUAACCGUGCUUUUCAUGCAAAGGUCACUGCAAAUAAACUAAUGUGGGAGAAAUGAAAACUCCAACUUGCUGUUAAAUUCAAAAGGAUUUAGACAAAGAAUAUGCUGAUUCCACCGACUGAUCCAGAUCGACCAUAGAAAUGUUCAAAUUUCUUUUGGGUCUACUGCUUUUACAAAUCAGACGCUUGCAUCGUUUGGACCACUACCUCUAAGGUCUAACAAAUUCCUGCAUAUCUUGUUUGAGGUUGGUAGGUACUACAUACCAUCCUACGUAUAAUGUGGUUGGCAGUUAAGACAAAACUUACGUGUAUGUUUGCUUGCCACGAUAAACAACCGUGCUUUUCAUGGUCACUCACUGCAAAUAAACUAGUGUGCGCAAAAUUUAAAAGUUCAACUUGCUGUUAAAUUCCAAAGGAUUUAACCCGAGAAUAUGCUGAUUCCGCUGGCAAUUCAGUAUCAACCACAGAAAUGUUCAAAAUUUAGUCUGGUUUUACUGCAUUUACAAUCGAGAGAUGCUUCCAAGUUCCAACGUCUCUGGACCACAACCUCCAAGAAGGUUUAAAACAAUUUUUGCAUAGAAGAAAGAGGUGUGAUAGGAUAUAGUGGUUCAAAAAUGAGUUUUUAACAGCAGUACAGGCAGGUUCAGCUCCCGAGCGUAGUUGUAAGGAGUCGGUGCUCGUAGCCUAAGAGGGGGAGGGGUGAAUUAGCCAACUUAAAACUUUAACUUAUGACUUUCACUACUUUUGCAUCAAACUUAAACUAGAUCAAGCUAUCAAUCUAGUAUGAAACCCUCGUCCCAAAAUAAGUUUUGCAACCUAGAGCCAAUCCUAACAAGAUACUACACUAAGAAAGUAAAGGCACAUAAGUUGCAAUUAUGAAAUGCGGAAAUGUAAGAGGUGAGGAUGAGGGGAAGCAAACUCUUUGACACGAUGAUUUAUCCCAUAGCAUCGGUAGGCACUAAGCCACCGCUAGUUCACGUUGUUGAAGCACUCACACAAGAGUAUUGCUUACCGGUCACAAGUCUCUUCCGGGACACCCCUUGACUUGCCACAAAGGCUUGACCACUAAGGAUCACGUCAAGUUCCCCGGUCACCUUGAUGCCAUCUCCACUAAGGAGCUUUUCCACGAAGGGGUCUCCACAUCCCCUGCAUACGGUCGUCGAUGCUGCUCCACACAAAGCCGCAGGGUUGAAGACUUGCCAGCGAGCCGCCAAGGCUCCAAGGUGCCGGCACACCUUCUACAGCUAUGGUUCACUCCUAGAACCGAUCACAAGGUAAGCACAACUUGCACUCUCUCUUCUCUAGGUCUAUCCUAACACUAAUCACUCUUCUAAGCUUGUGCUAAGUCUUUGACUAAUCACUUAUGCACUUUUGGUGGCUUGGAUGUGUUCUUGAUAAGUCUUGAUCUUCAAUGGAUUCUUGCACACUCCAGCAAC